GGGGAUUUAGCUCAGCGGCAUGAGCGCCUGCCUUGCAAGCAGGCAGUCAGUUCAAUCCCUG
rnacentral:tRNA from 1 species